rnacentral:rRNA from 1 species
GGACGAACGCUGGCGGCGUGCUUAACACAUGCAAGUCGAACGGAAAGGCCCUGCUUUUGUGGGGUGCUCGAGUGGCGAACGGGUGAGUAACACGUGAGUAACCUGCCCUUGACUUUGGGAUAACUUCAGGAAACUGGGGCUAAUACCGGAUAGGAGCUCCUGCUGCAUGGUGGGGGUUGGAAAGUUUCGGCGGUUGGGGAUGGACUCGCGGCUUAUCAGCUUGUUGGUGGGGUAGUGGCUUACCAAGGCUUUGACGGGUAGCCGGCCUGAGAGGGUGACCGGCCACAUUGGGACUGAGAUACGGCCCAGACUCCUACGGGAGGCAGCAGUGGGGAAUAUUGCACAAUGGGCGGAAGCCUGAUGCAGCAACGCCGCGUGCGGGAUGUCGGCCUUCGGGUUGUAAACCGCUUUCGCCUGUGACGAAGCGUGAGUGACGGUAAUGGGUAAAGAAGCACCGGCUAACUACGUG